GGGGUGAGAGAAUGUUCCAUUCUAAGUCGUGGAAUUUGGGUUUCUUCCUGUAGGCCGUGGAGAGCCACUGAGGAGCCCUGAAGAGGGGAAGAGACAGCCGCCCAGGAGGCUGCUGCAGCGGUACAGAUAAGGGACCGUGCUGACUCAAUGCAGAGGAGCAGAUUUGGGAGAUGUGCCCCAGAUCUCAGCCCUAAUCUAGGCACGAGGAACCUUUUGCAGUAUUUCAGUUAAGCCGAAGACUUU
rnacentral:lncRNA from 1 species